AAUGACGUACUUACCCACAGGUGUGGAAUUACACUCUUUCAUGUCCUCAAUGGUGCAGCGCUCCAUUCACACAGGUGUCUUCACUUUUCUACCUGAUUACACCUCUUCUCAGGAGUGUUUGGGUGUGUGCUUGAUUGACAUCUCCCUGACUCUCCUGAUGGCUUUGUUACAUCCGAUAGGGAGGGACAACCGACAACUCUAUCAUUCUUAAGGUCAGACCAGUCAGAGCGUUUGGGCUUUGUUAAAAGAGUUCACAUUCUUCCGUUGACGCCCAGGUUUAAGGAGGAAACACAGUCACUGCGCCAGUUUCUCUCCGUGGAGAUCAAUGUGUUUACCUCCAAAGACACAGAGCCAGGACAACGGGAGCGAGAGAAAGAUUAACCCAAGGAGUUCAAACAGAAUUGACUUGUAGAUUUUUGCAUCAGUGCAUUUUCAUGUGUGUUAAUAUGUGUUUACAUGUUGUCCAAUCAUAGUGAUUUUAAAUGCUUUUUUGUGUUCAUGCAGUAAAAAGUGUGUUUAUCGCAUAUAUUUUGACAGUUAAACGAAUCAACUGAUCAAUAGUUAACAUUGUAUUGGUGUGUGUGUGUGUGUGUGUGUGUGUGUGUGUGUGUGUGCGCGCGUGUGCGUGUGAGUGAGUGUUAAUCUAGCCAGUAUAGUUAAUAUGUUGUUCCCAUACUCUAUUAGCCAUUGUUGACAGCUGAUGAUUGAUCUUCUCAUCAUUUUUCCCUCCAACAUCCUGCGGUGACUGUUUAUGUGUGUGUGUGUGUGUGUGUGUGUGUGUGUGAGUGUGUGUGUGUGUUUGAGAGAGAGAGAGAGAAAGAGAGAUGUUAGUGUUUGUGUAUUUAAAUCUGACUUCAUGUCUGUUUUUGCGUAAAAUCUUGUGCAUGUUGUGUGUGUGUGUAAGCUCCCAGGAUGUGUGCUAUUAUAGGUACGGCAGUGAUACAGCAUUAGCGUUGGCAACAUGAGAGUACUCUUAACCCUUGUGUGUGUGUGUAUAUAUAUAUAUAUAUAUAUAUAUAUAUA